UCCUGCACACUUACAAAUGGAAAAUACAAAAGAAGUAGUUUCCUAUUGGUUGGAACUGAAAUAAAGAAAGUGAUGUAGAGCUCUUACAACCAGCCAAAGCGCUUUUGUCAUUGAGGUCCCUGCUGAAAACUGAUAAAGCAGGGCUCAUUAGGAGAGUACCUCAGAGAGGCUUCAGCGACCAAAUUUGAUUUGAAACAUGUCUUUGAGAGGCUGCAGGAGACAAGGUCACCUUUGAUUUCAGAGGAGCACAUCCAUCCGGAGUUGUCGGGCAGCGUCUUGCACUCCUCUCCCUCCAGACAAGGUUCCAUCUCACACCACCACUUCCCAAUUACAAUGGAUGCUGCAAAAACUUCCCCGCUCAUCUAAUCACUACGUAAUGAGCAUCUCCAGAGGGCUUUUGAGAGAGUCUGCUUCCUCCUCUUUGGCCUCCAAGCACUUGUACCCCUGUUGUAUGGGUAUUGCUGAUGACAAUAAAGUCUAAAACCAACAGAAAUUAAUCAAUGGUUUGUUUUGAUAUAGCUCUGUUGCAUGUAUGGGAGCAAUUCUGUUUUUAAUCAAAACUAAUUGCUUCUCGUUAACAUCUACUAAAAAUGCUCCUCCAGCUAUUUGACAAAAACAAAUGUAGUCUCAUCUUCUCAUCAACAAUUCUCCUUCUCCCGCCCUCUUCUUCUCAUUAUUUGUGUCUCUGGGUUGUAAAGUUAGAUGAAUGUGGUUGUGUUUACUUAAAUAAAGUAGAAAGAAAGGAAAACAACAAAUCUAUCCACGAGAUUGCUGACAUUUUGGUAAGUAAAGUAAAAACCUCCCAUCAUAUGUAGAUAAUGAGGAAACAGAGUACUCAUUACACAUUACGUCAACACUGGAGCACUUUACAGAGGAAACCAUUUUUGAGAGGGAUAUAAUGCUACUGACUAUUUAGUUAAAAGUAAGAUGGUGAAACAACAAAAGAGGUGUUUAUUUAGAUAAGCAGGAUGUUCUUUUAGCUUUUCAUGUACUAUGAAAUGCAUAAUGAUACAAUGUCUUGUAUGGUAAAUCAUUAUUUAGGUGGUGAUCUGAUUUGAUUAAAAAAUGUAGAGAUUAGACAAUGAAUCACAUGCCAUGCCGGCUCAGACGUCGCCCGGCAAAACAAGGUCUGCGUCAGGUGCUGGGGGACCAGAGCACCCUGAUGGAAAGUGGGCUAUUGGAACAAGAC